rnacentral:lncRNA from 1 species
UUUCUGCAGACCAUGCUGGUGAAAAUACCAGGGUAAUAAAUCAGUGAAUUCCAAAAGUGAGGAUUUUUGUUGGAUUUGGUACAGUGACAGGAGAGUCCGAGUCUUCUCAAGGGCAUCCCUCUCUCACCCAGGGGCACUGAGGACAGACGACCAGAAGCAAAUGGCGCAGUCGUAGACAGAGAGUAAAACUCAUUCUGAAUCUGUUCCAAAUACCCGUGCCUGCUCUGUGGUUUUCAGCAAAGCAGAUAUUUCCAAAAGAACUCCAAGGGGGACUUCCUGGAUGUGAAAACACUAACCAAUUCUCGUUUCUCUCAUCUUUUGCUUUAUUCCUUCCUUCCACGCUGUUAUUGCGAAAAACUGGCAGUUAAAUUCAAUUGAUUCAAAAUAUUCCGGAUCCAUAUGGCCG